GCCACAUCUGUGAGUGGAGCCGUGUAACCACGCAGGGCAAAUGGAGAGCCAACAUGGCCAGCAAGCAGCACAGUGGAAAAACCACUUAAGCAUACUAGCGUGAGAUGCAUUUAUAAAAAAAAAAAAAAAAAAACACAACCUCCCCACUAACUCGGUAACAGUGGGACUAUCAAACUAGCGCAUUAACUCGGUGACGGUGGGAUUAUAAAGAGAGGACGUGACUCGGUGACGGUGGGAUUAUAAAGCGAGGACGUGACUCGUAACGGUGGGAUUAUAACGCGAGUGCGUUCACUAGAAAGAUCUGUUUACAAUCCACUAGUGAACUUGAAAUCGACUGACAGACAUGAGAAUGAGCGAGCGGUGCGUGUCGGGAAGACACGGCGUCAGCGUGUUGGACUCGGACGUCCACUCGAGUAAUAACGCCGCGUCGGCGGUGUAAAAAAGUCGAGUGUUUGCUCAUCGAAACGCAGGAUCAUCCGCUCCGUGCGUUUAGAUCGGACACUCGCUCUUCACCUCUCCUACACUCGCCACCUUUCCCUCUUCACCUCUCACCGUAUCUUUUCUCGCAACCCUCCACUAACAGCCCGUUACUCUGGGAAGGAAAAAGGAAAUAAAGUCUCAGAUCACGAAUCUGCACCGUUCCGUGCAAAAGACCGGCUGGAGAGAAGAUGUAAUAAAGAAGACAUUAUACGAACAGACAUUAUCGUUAAGCCACGCCAUGAACGACGUUAUCUUCGAUUAAAUAUACGGAAACAGAAAAGGAACGUGAUAAAAAAAAAAAGCACGCGUCUCAGUAAACCGGUGGGCCGAGGCCACACUCUCUGGAUCAUCAGACUUUAGAAGAUCGCAUCUAAAGCCGUCACCAUGAUGUACGAUUUUGGCUAUGAACGUUUUUUAGCACAUAGCACCGUUCCCAUUCUCUCUUUAAGGACUAUUGGGCUUUAAUGAAACAGAAAAAGGGGUUGUUGGGACAAACAGAAGAGAGAGAGAGAGAGAGAGAGAGAGAGAGAGAGAGAGAGAGAGAGAGAGAGAGAGAGCGCAAUCUUUCACAGGAAAUAUCUUCCACCCUCAUAAAAGGACAUCAGUGAUAUCCUUAGGAAAUAAAGACAAUAGUAAUCUCACAACACCAUGGUGGGGUCAUUUACAGGGAACUCCCAGCAGUAAGAGAGUGUGUGUAUGUGAGAGAGAGAGAGAGAGAGAGAGAGAGAGAGAGAGAGAGAGAGAGAGAGAGAGAGAGAGAGCACCACUUGACUAACUAUACAGUCAUGAGAAAAAUUAAGUACACUCCAUGGAAAUUGUUGGCUUUUUGACAUGUCUGGACAAGCGAAGGACAAACCUUUGAUCAUCUUUGAAACCUAUUAAUAAAGUUGAACA
ensembl:lncRNA